rnacentral:rRNA from 1 species
ACGUAGGGGGCGAGCGUUGUUCGGAAUUACUGGGCGUAAAGGGCAUGUAGGCGGUUUUGUAAGACUGGCGUGAAAGGCUGCAGCUUAACUGGAGCAUGGCGCGGGUAACUACAAGGCUUGAGUCACGGAGAGGGGGGAAGAACUCCAGGUGUAGGAGUGAAAUCCGGUGAUACCUGGGGGAAGACCAGUGGCGAAGGCGACUCACCAGGACGGGUCUGACGCUGAGGAGCGAAAGCUUGGGUAGCAAACCG